UUUGUUAAGGCUCAAACUAGAUUCGAUUUCUGAAAUUGCCUUCAUUAUCUAAUCACUUUUAUAAUUUCUUUUUCCAAAAAUGCUCCUGAAAUUAGAUAAAUUUUAGUGCAUUCUCAAUUUCUCAUAAGAUUCCAAAUGAAAAAUGGGGUGAACCUAUUUGGAGGAAAAUUUCAUAUGAGCUCAUCAAGAUCUCCAAUGUCUUCCUCUUGCCUCGACGGUCCUUCCAUUCGCAUGAGCUUGCCUACCUCCUCGGCCCCUACCAUCGAAUUUAUUAGAACCGCAACGUACCUCCUCCUGUCGACUGGACAGAGUUUCCCUGGUUCUGUCCCCAACUUGAACAUAUCCUCUUGCACUUCAUCCAUUUAUUCCCAUUGCCUUCUCCGUUGAGGCCUCCAUGUUUGUCGUCGAUCGGCAACUCCACUUCCUUUUGUGCCCGCAAAAAAGAAAAGAAAAACAAAAUGAAUUGACUUUUUAAUUUUAUUUUUAAAACUAUUUUAAGAACAAAAAAUAUACUAACUAAAACAUCAUGUCAUUACCCUAAUGAGAUUCAGAGUCAAAAUUUGAGUGAUUUUGACACCCGAACCAUCUAUGGUGGGUAAAACUAUUAAUUGCCCGUUUGUUAAUCAGUUUUAGCCUUUUAGGAGAUGUAAAUUGAGGGUUUUCUUCUUCUUGAUAUCCAUUUUCUUCAUAUCAGAUAUCUUUAAUCCUUUAAAAUUUUCAUUUUUUAUACGUUUUUUAAUAGGAUUCAAGGUUUUGGCAGUUAGUUUAUAUUUAGUUAAUUGCAUAAUUAGUCAAAGCUAAUUACACAAUUACAACUUUUUUUUACACAGAUUAUAAUUUUACUAAUAGAAAUGUACUCCAAACACUAGUUAAAGUGAUCAGGUGAGGCCUAAGGAUAAGAGCGGGAUGAGUCGUUUCAGUCCCAUGCCCCGAUGAUAACUGGGGUCGAGACAGAAUUUCUAUUCCGUUGCAACAUGCAUUCACAGAAUUUUUAAGCUAUGUAUGAUUUAUUUGGAUAGGCUAAAAAAUAAAAUAAAAAAGAUUCCCCCCCCUGUUGAUCAUGAUUAAUUCCCAGCAUCCAGGUUGCUAUUUAUGUAGAAAUGUGGAAGUAUAGUUUAGGAUUAUCCCAAAACUAAAAGGGUUCAUUCCAUAAAAACACACAUUCCCAGAGCCACAGUCUCACAGAAUAAGUGUAAUCUAUAGAAAAUAAACCGGCUAUUGCCGGUGACGAAUCAGUGAUGCCGUGGUGCCCACUACCCAAGUAAAAAAGUGAUAAACCCUCACAAAACAACAGAUAGAGAAAGAGGAAGAAUCCAGCGCCGAAAGCAAAACCAGACAAGAUCAGAGGAGGAGAUGAAGAACCUGUAUCCGAAAGCCGGCAAAGGGAAGAUCCAUCCAUCACCUUCUCCGACUCCAUCUCCGUCUGAUGCGAUUGAUAUCUUCGCACUGCUUCCAGUGACGAUAUUAGCCCUAACGGCGACGCUGAGCAAUGAAGAUAAGCAGGUGUUGGCGUACCUGAUCACCCGUUCCGUUCACGGCGAUGUGGAGAGGAAAGCUCCUCGAUGCUGCGGAUGGAGAUCGGGAUUUGAAUGCGGUUG
rnacentral:lncRNA from 1 species